GUCGUGCACGCCCGGAGUGCUCUCUCACAUCCAUCUCACCCCUUUGUGCAUCAUCGCGUGGGGCCCUCUCCUUUGGCUUGUUCCGGAAGGGGGGGGGUUCACGUUUUUACACGAACAACCCAUUAAUGCAUGUGUAGAAUGUCUUACUUUUUGCGGUCACACGCAAUCAAUACAACUUUCAACAACGGAUCUCUUGGCUCUCGCAUCGAUGAAGAACGCAGCGAAAUGCGAUACGUAAUGUGAAUUGCAGAAUUCAGUGAAUCAUCGAAUCUUUGAACGCACCUUGCGCCCCUUGGUAUUCCGAGGGGUGCACCCGUUUGAGUGUCGUGAACACCCUCAACCUUCUUGGUUUAUCGACCGGGAAGGCUUGGACUUUGGAGGUUUUUGUUGCUGGCCUCGUUUGAAGCCAGCUCCUCCUAAACGAAUUAGUGGGGUCCGCCGUGCCGACCCUCGACGUGAUAAGUAUGCUUCUACGUCUUGGGGUUUCGCACUGUUGCCUGCUUCCAACCGUCUUCGAAUGAAGACAAUCUUAUAGACCUUGACCUCAAAUCGGGUGAG
rnacentral:rRNA from 1 species